AGAGUUUGAUCCUGGCUCAGGACGAACGCUGGCGGCGUGGAUUAGGCAUGCAAGUCGAACGGUAUGGUGCUUUCGGGCAUCAGAGAGUGGCGAACGGGUGAGUAACACGUAGGUUAUCUACCCUCAAGACGGGGACAACCCAGGGAAACUUGGGCUAAUACCGGAUGAAAGCAACCGUGAGGUUGUUUAAAAGAUGGCUUUAAGCUGUCGCUUGGGGAUGAGCCUGCGUCCUAUUAGUUAGUUGGUGAGGUAACGGCUCCCCAAGGCAAUGAUAGGUAGGCGGCCUUAACGGGUGGUCGCCCACACUGGGAUUGAGAAACGGCCCAGACUCCUACGGGAGGCAGCAGUCGAGAAUAGUCUACAAUGGCCGAAAGGCUGAUAGUGCGACGCCGCGUGAACGAGGAAUCCCUUCGGGGUGUAAAGUUCUUUUAUAUGUGAGCAGUGCCGGCUAUAUUAAUAGUAUAGUUGGAGAGAUAUUAGCAUAUGAAUAAGCAACGGCUAACUCCGUGCCAGCAGCCGCGGUAACACGGGGGUUGCAAGCGUUGUCCGGAAUUACUAGGCGUAAAGGGCAGGCAGGCGGACCUGCAAGUUUUCUGUUAAAGACGUCAGCCCAACUGGCGCACGGCAGGAGAUACUGCAGGUCUUGAAUGCGGUUGGGGAAGACAGAAUUCCUGGUGUAGCGGUGGAAUGCGCAGAGAUCAGGAGGAAUACCAAAGGCGAAGGCAGUCUUCCAAGCCGUUAUUGACGCUGAACUGCGAAGGUGUGGGUAUCAAACAGGAUUAGAUACCCUGGUAGUUCCCCCCCGUAAACGAUGAGUGCUAGGGGUCGGGAGUCAAAUCUCGGUGCCGUAGUUAACGCAAUAAGCACUCCGCCUGGGGGAGUACGUGCGCAAGCAUGAAACUCAAAAGGAAUUGACGGGGACCCGCACAAGCAGCGGAGCAUGUGGUUUAAUUCGAAGCAACGCGAAGAACCUUACCAGGACUUGACAUACUAGUGCCAAAUGUAGAGAUACAUUAUUUCUUCGGAACACUAAUACAGGUGGUGCAUGGUUGUCGUCAGCUCGUGUCGUGAGAUGUUGGGUUAAGUCCCGCAACGAGCGCAACCCCUAUGUUUAUUUGCCAGCAUUUCGGAUGGGAACUAUAGACAGACUGCCGAUAAGAAAUCGGAGGAAGGUGGGGAUGACGUCAAAUCAUCAUGCCCUAUAUGUCCUGGGCUACACACGUGCUACAAUGGUCGUUACAGAGAGCAGCUACACAGUGAUGUCACGCGAAUCUCAAAAAGGCGAUCUCAGUUCGGAUUGUACUCUGCAACUCGAGUACAUGAAGUCGGAGUUGCUAGUAAUCGCAAAUCAGAAUGUUGCGGUGAAUGCGUUCCCGGGUCUUGCACACACCGCCCGUCAAG
rnacentral:rRNA from 1 species